ACUUCAUCUCCAUGAAAGAAAGAAGAAGACGUCAGACAACACCCCUCCCUUCUCUGGGCAGCAGGUUGUCAGUGAGGGGGUCCAGCUGGUGGAGACUGGAGAUGCCAAACAAGCUGUCAGAGAUAAGAAGAGGCGGACGAGCUUCCUCCUACCUUUCCUCUUGGUGCAGUGGUAGACCUGCGGCGGCUGGCUGUGCUGCAGACUGAAACUCUUCACAUGCUCGCGGCCCUCAGUUGUCUGGCCUGUGAGGAAGAAGAGAAGUGAGAGGCGAAGCUUUCAAUAAUACCUGAAAUGAGGUGGUGCUGGUGGCGGCUGGACGGCUCAUUAUUGUCCCAUCCUGGCUUCAGCUGACUGGAUCCUCUGUUCUCUGUCUGGAGGAAGUGGUGAAGGGGUCCCAGACCUCCUGCACUCAGCAGGUCUGUCUCACACACCUUCAGCUCGGCCAGAGCGAGUGUGUGUGCGUGUGUGUGUGCGUGUGUGUGUGUCUGUGUGUGUGUGUGUGUGGCGUUAGAGGGCAAGGUCAACCCAUUUCUCUGCAAACAAUCACAUCACACAGGGCAAAAUACAUUCCAACCCUCCCCUCCGCCUCCAGUUUGUAAGGUGGUCUGAUGUGGGAACAGCAGAGGGUGGGGGUCUGGCAGCGGUCCAGACGGGGCCUCCAAGUCCAGAUGAAGGAAAACCUGCUCCACAUUAAUAUGACUUCAUAUUACACAUGUUACACGCACACAUGACUCUGCUCUCCACAGGCUUAGUUAAAUGUUUUGCUCCUCUUUAAAGAAAAAUCUCACUCGCUGCAAACGAGAUGAGAUCACUUAGUGGUUCGGUGGCACAUGACGAGGUUUACAUAUGAGACAUAUUAGAGGUAGGAGACCUCUUAAAAACUCAACACAAAUAACAUUAUCCUGUCAUUUUGAAAUUGAAAGGAGUUAUCAGCUUCAUCAAUGUUCUUUCCAACAUUCAACACACUGAUCAAAUGUUUGCAGUUGACUUAUUAACAGCAUUUCCAGAAAUCCUCCUUUUGCAGAAGUGACUCAGUCACAAUAAUGAGAUCAUAGCUCUUAAAGGAUAGAUUCACAUUUUUUCAAGUCUGUCCUAAAACAGCAGUCAGGUGUGUUAAAAUGUAUGUAAAAGUUUACUUGAAGCCAAAAUGAAGCCUCAGUCGUCCAAAUUAGUCAAAUCAAGUUGACAUUUUUCAAAGUUACUUUCUUUUUGUUGUCGAAUUCCUUCUUUGUUAUGAUCCCUCCACUGCAGCUGAACAGGAAAACACUGUCCGUCGAGACACAAAGAGAGAUUUUUUUU